rnacentral:rRNA from 1 species
GCUGGCGGUAUGCUUAACACAUGCAAGUCGAACGGUAGCAGCUCUAGCUUGCUAGAGGCUGACGAGUGGCGGACGGGUGAGUAAAGCGUAGGAAUCUACCCAUCAGUAGAGGACAACUCGGGGAAACUCGGGCUAAUACUGUAUAUUACUCUACGGAGGAAAGUGAGGGACCUUAUGGCCUCACGCUGAUGGAUGAGCCUGCGUCGGAUUAGCUUGUUGGUAGGGUAAAGGCCUACCAAGGCGACGAUCCGUAGCUGUUCUGAGAGGAAGAUCAGCCACACUGGGACUGAGACACGGCCCAGACUCCUACGGGAGGCAGCAGUGGGGAAUAUUGGACAAUGGGGGCAACCCUGAUCCAGCAAUGCCGCGUGUGUGAAGAAGGCCUGCGGGUUGUAAAGCACUUUCGGAUGGGAAGAAAAGCUCAAGGCUAAUAUCCUUGAGUCUUGACGUUACUAUCAGAAGAAGCACCGGCUAACUCUGUG